CCUACGGGAGGCUGCAGUGAGGAAUAUUGGUCAAUGGACGAGAGUUUGAACCAGCCAAGUAGCGUGAAGGAUGACUGCCCUAUGGGUUGUAAACUUCUUUUAUAAAGGAAUAAAAUGAGACACGUGUGCCUUUUUGCACGUACUUUAUGAAUAAGGAUCGGCUAACUCCGUGCCAGCAGCGGCGGUAAUACGGAGGAUCCGAGCGUUAUCCGGAUUUGUUGGGUUUAAAGGGAGCGUAGAUGGGUCGUUAAGUCAGUUGUGAAAGUUUGCGGGUCAACCGUCAAAUUGCAAUUGAUACUGGCAGUCUUGAGUACAGUAGAGGUAGGCGGAAUUCGUGGUGUAGCGGUGAAAUGCUUAGAUAUAACGAAGAACCCCGAUUGCGAAGGCAGCUUACUAAACUGUGACUGACAUUGAUGCUCGAAAGUGUGGGUAUCAAACAGGAUUAGAUACCCCGGUAGUC
rnacentral:rRNA from 1 species